GUGCCAGCCGCCGCGGUAAUACGGUAUGGUGCAAGCGUUAUCCGGAUUUACUGGGUGUAAAGGGAGCGCAGGCGGUACGGCAAGUCUGAUGUGAAAGCCCGGGGCUCAACCCCGGUACUGCAUUGGAAACUGUCGGACUAGAGUGUCGGAGGGGUAAGUGGAAUUCCUAGUGUAGCGGUGAAAUGCGUAGAUAUUAGGAGGAACACCAGUGGCGAAGGCGGCUUACUGGACGAUUACUGACGCUGAGGCUCGAAAGCGUGGGGAGCAAACAGGAUUAGAUACCCCUGGUAGUCCAUGCCGUAAACGAUGAAUACUAGGUGUCGGGGGAGCAUUGCUCUUCGGUGCCGCAGCAAACGCAAAUAAGUAUUCCACCUGGGGAUACGUUCGCAAGAAUGAAACUUAAAUGAAUUGACGGG
rnacentral:rRNA from 1 species